AGGUUGAACGCUGGCGGCAUGCCUUACACAUGCAAGUCGAACGGCAGCACGGGAGCAAUCUUGGUGGCGAGUGGCGAACGGGUGAGUAAUACAUCGGAACGUGCCCAGUAGUGGGGGAUAGCCCGGCGAAAGCCGGAUUAAUACCGCAUACGACCUACGGGUGAAAGGCGGGGGAUCGCAAGACCUCGCGCUAUCGGAGCGGCCGAUGUCAGAUUAGCUAGUUGGUA
rnacentral:rRNA from 1 species